ensembl:ncRNA K07C10.7 ncRNA
UCGGGCACGCCUUUAUGCCUGCCUGCCUGCCUACAUGACUGUAUAGGGCAUUUUUGAGGCCACCUUGACGGCAGGCAGACAGGCAGAACAUGUUUUAUCUAGUUCAGAAGUCUGAAAGUUCCACAUUUUAGCGAUUGGCCAACACAUUUU